CUUGCAGGUGCCUUGUUCCAGCGGCUCGUUGCUCUACGUGUGGUGCACCCUGAUCACCAUGGAAACGGACUCUCACAUGCAGCAGAGAGUGGUUGUAUUUAGUCCUCUGUUCAUGAUGCGUAGCCACCUUCCAGACCCUGUCAUCAUCCACACAGAGAAGAGAAGUCUGGGGCUGAGAGAGAGUCAGCUGAUCCAGGGACAGGGUCACCAGGAACAACUACUGAACACGGAGAAUGACCUGACACACCACCUCACCUUCCAGGCCAGGUAACACACCUUCCAGGCCAGGUAACACACCUUCCAGGCCAGG